AGAAAACCCCAGACACUGGAAAAAAGAACUUGGAGACGAGAGGUGAGCUGAGUCACAUCUGCGCUCCCUGAUCACUCGGGUGGGUGGGGGAGACAAUGUAUAGUAACAAGAAAUGAAACACUCUGCUUCACGGGCUAGUGGUUUUCUAGUGGUUUUUUUUUUUUUUAAAGAACAGUGAAAGGACUCGUCUGAAGUUAUUCCGACACGGCCCCUAGUUGCUAGGGCCUAUAUAAAAAAGCAGCUCAAAUGGAAAGUGUCACCCAGGACAGCAUUGGGAGGAAAUGACACCAGGAGACCUUGUUUCAGUGAGAAAUCCCAGGCACAGGGCUGAUCCAGAAGCUGGUCUGGGUUCUGUUUCCCUGCGCAGCUGGGAGGAGACAGAAGCACUCUGGGCCUCCGUUGUUGGCAAAGUGAGUCACACUGGACAGGAGAGUCUGGAAGAAUGGCAGGCACAGCUUGCAAGCGCAUCUGGAGGUGGCUGGAGAGAACCCAUCUGCCACCCUACACUCUCAAUCCCUAAGUAAAACGGAUUCUCUGGGGAGACGCAGCACAUCGCCUGGCUCUGCAGCCCCCACCACAUUGUAGCGUACACCCGUGGAGGAGUUUGGGGUCACACACUUACCGGCAUGGUGGCUGCCUGGCUGAGCCCGGGGACAGCAUGUACUCAUCCGAAGAGGGGACCCAUGACCGUGGUGUGCACAGUACAAGAGCUCGCUUGGGAUCUCUGAUAAAGGAAGUCCACCAUGCAGGGUUGAGCUGAACCACAGAAGCCCAGCCUGGGAGCAGGGCUCCAGGACUCCCCAAGGAUCAGAAACCUCAAUGAUAAAUUUCCGACUGGAUGAUACACACUACACCUGUUCUUCAGCGAUGAUGUAUGGUGUGUCUAACAUCUGCCUAUUAGCAGCUGAAUUCCCUUCUAUGACGUGAUACAUAAUGUAUGGUGUGACACAGCUGGGUAAUAAACAAUGUCAGCUGCGUCCU
rnacentral:lncRNA from 1 species